UUGCUAUCUGCGAUAUGGAAGAUUCGAACCUGCCGCAGGUUCGGGUCUCAUGCAGUGAGACAACGGAGCCGUUUACGGCGACGGCCCGUAGGGCGAGGCGAAGCCGAGUCAUCCUGCACGACCCACCA
rnacentral:sRNA from 1 species